UACGCUCAUGGCUUACAGUUAAAACAUCGGUUCUCGUACGAUCAUCGAAGUAAAGCAACUUUGAGCUUGGUCCGUACUUAGAUGGGUGACCACCUGGGAAUACUAGAUGUUGUAC